GACGAACGCUGGCGGCGUGCUUAACACAUGCAAGUCGAACGGAAAGGCCCUGCUUUUGUGGGGUGCUCGAGUGGCGAACGGGUGAGUAACACGUGAGUAACCUGCCCUUGACUUUGGUAUAACUUCAGGAAACUGGGGCUAAUACCGGAUAGGAGCUCCUGCUGCAUGGUGGGGGUUGGAAAGUUUCGGCGGUUGGGGAUGGACUCGCGGCUUAUCAGCUUGUUGGUGGGGUAGUGGCUUACCAAGGCUUUGACGGGUAGCCGGCCUGAGAGGGUGACCGGCGACAUUGGGACUGAGAUACGGACCAGACUCCUACGGGAGGCAGCAGUGGGGAAUAUUGCACAAUGGGCGGAAGCCUGAUGCAGCAACGCUGCGUGCGGGAUGACGGCCUGCGGGUUGUAAACAGCUUUCGCCUGUGACGAAGCGUGAGUGACGGUAAUGGGUAAAGAAGCACCGGCUAACUACGUG
rnacentral:rRNA from 1 species